UACGGGGGGGGCAAGCGUUGUUCGGAAUUACUGGGCGUAAAGGGCUCGUAGGUGGCCAACUAAGUCAGACGUGAAAUCCCUCAGCUUAACUGGGGAACUGCGUCUGAUACUGGAUGGCUUGAGUUUGGGAGAGGGAUGCGGAAUUCCUGGUGUAGCGGUGAAAUGCGCAGAUAUCAGGAGGAACACCGGUGGCGAAGGCGGAUCUCUGGGCCAGUACUGACACUGAGGAGCGAAAGCGUGGGUAGCAAACAGG
rnacentral:rRNA from 1 species